rnacentral:lncRNA from 1 species
ACACUUCAUGCAUUUUAUUGAGUCUAUUUAAAUUUGCAUUAUGACAUCUUACAUAGGGAACAAACUCCUCCUAAAUGUUAGCUAGCAAAUCUGGUCAAACUCUUGUCCCAUGACCUCAGAGUACCAUUUGGUAUUAAACAAGUCCAGUAUAAACAGAUGUAAAGCACUGUACAAAAGAAAAAAGGAAAAAAAAACCAAGGAAAAAUAAAGAAACCUGUUACAUUCUCAGUGGAAUUCAGGGCUUCCCAACCAACAGCCUUACUAACAGGCAGUGAAAUGCAAAAAGGGGCCUCGGGUGUUUUUUUAGCUUAAGAGAACAAAACCAGAUGAAACAAUCAAAACAAACUCAAUGGUAUGUUUUCCCAUGAGAAAAAGAAGAAAAAAAGAGCCAUCUCCUACCAAAAGGUUGGGAAGCCCUGGUAUAACAGAUGAAAACACAACUUUUACGUACUUUGGGCAAGUUACCCUUGAUUUUGUCUCUCCACCCUCCUCCUUCCCUCUCUAGCCAAGGACAAACAAACAAAAAGCCUAGUGUAUGUGAGGGUGGGAAAUAUGUCUGAAUCUGUUAUAAUUCCCUUAAUGUGGCUCCAAGCCAAGCCUGAUCCAAAGCACCUCCUCCUGGGAGAAGGCGGAGGAGCAGGCAGGCAUUUCCAUAAUCACUGAACCUCACCAGCUCCAUGCGUGCUACAUACCCUUCCCCGAGCAAGGAUGAUCACUGAGAAAACCAAGACAUCAGUUACAAGAACACAUAUAUUAAUGAGAAGGAUCCCAACCUAACCAUAAGGCUGUGGCUAAGCCAACAUGUUCUGUAUCAUAGUGUGAUGGUGAAGAUCACGCUGGGAGACUCAGAAACCCCCUCAUCGCACUGCUAAAAGGCAGAGACACACGGUCAGGCCGUAACUGCAUUUCUUUUCUCAUCUUCACAUUAGACCCUCAUCAUUAGGAGACCAUUGGGAACCUCCUCUUUGUGUAGGCAACCAUUUCGAGAUAAACAUGGACACAGAUACACCAGGAAACAUCCUUUGGACUUGCCACAUUUGCAUAAUCCAGCCAAGUGACAGGAAACCGGAGUGACAGCCAUUGUGGUCCAUUGUGCCAACUGUGGUGGGAAAUCCAUUCAUCUGCAAGUGGGCACAAUGGACAAUUCCAGCUCCUUCAGCAAUGAUGGGGUAUCGUGUCAGUGCAGCUGCUGCACCUGCACAUCCAGCCUUCGUACAAAAGGUCAUUUAUUGAGCAAUGUGCAGUACUAAUCAAAUCAUUUUUAAAUGGAAUAAAUUCACUACCUACAACUUCUCUGCAAAAAACCCCAACUUGUGCAAAGAAAUAAAAGUGCACGUGAAAGGGAAACGUAACAAACCCCAGGAAUAACUCUUCGCAGUCUUUCAAUGGGCAAAGCCCCAGUUAAAUAGAAAGCACGCAUC